rnacentral:rRNA from 1 species
GACGAACGCUGGCGGCGUGCUUAACACAUGCAAGUCGAACGGUGAUCUUGGGAGCUUGCUCCUGGGUGAUCAGUGGCGAACGGGUGAGUAACACGUGAGUAACCUGCCCCUGACUCUGGAAUAACUUCGGGAAACCGAAGCUAAUACCGGAUAUGACACAGAGCCGCAUGGUUUCUGUGUGGAAAGUUUUUUCGGUUGGGGAUGGACUCGCGGCCUAUCAGCUUGUUGGUGAGGUAAUGGCUCACCAAGGCGACGACGGGUAGCCGGCCUGAGAGGGCGACCGGCCACACUGGGACUGAGACACGGCCCAGACUCCUACGGGAGGCAGCAGUGGGGAAUAUUGCACAAUGGGCGAAAGCCUGAUGCAGCGACGCCGCGUGAGGGAUGAAGGCCUUCGGGUUGUAAACCUCUUUCAGUAGGGAAGAAGCGCAAGUGACGGUACCUACAGAAGAAGCACCGGCUAACUACGUGCCAGCCGCCGCGGUAAUAC